rnacentral:snRNA from 1 species
AGCUUUGCACAGUGGCAGUAUUGUAGCCUCUGAGGUUUAUCCAAGGUGUGAUUAUUGCUAAAUGAAAAAUUUUCCUAUGUAA